CACCCAAGAACAACUAGAGAGACUAUAGACCAACUAUCUGGUCCUCCUACUCCGAUGGUGCAACAGCUUACUCCAAUGGAAAGGGAGGCUAGGGUCCUGAGAUACAGAGAGAAGAAGAAGACAAGGAAAUUUGACAAGACAAUAAGGUAUGCUUCAAGAAAGGCAUAUGCAGAGAUACGACCAAGAAUCAAGGGCAGAUUCGCAAAAAGGAUAGAAAUUGAAGCUGAGGCUGAAGAAAUCUUCUCAGCAUCGCUAAUGUCUGAGACUGGAUAUGGAAUUGUUCCUUCCUUCUGAACUACUAUGGUGAAGAUGGACUAGACUGCAUGCUGUAAAUUACUUCUAUUUUGGAUGCCUACAAGUUAUUACCACAGUUACGCAUAUGAAUCCUAGUUUUGUUAAUUUUGUCUAAACUAUUAUGAGUUAAUUAGAUAUGUUCCUAUUAGCUGCACUAGUUUAAGGAAAGCAACAUUUCUCUACAUAGUUUAAAAAUGAAAUGGUGAAAUCUUAUUAUCUUGAACAGUGCCUAUCACUCUAAUUGAAUUGGUGCCACAUGAAAGAGAUAUGCAUCACUAUGAUUAGCUGUAAGUAGAAAACUAAAAGCAGAUUUCACACGUUGUCACUUCACAAGAAAGACGACACCUAAGUUCAAAGUAAAUACCUUUGAUUAUUUUCUAGCAGUAGAAUCUUCAGUUUCUUGACACGUUCAAGAUCACUGAACAUGUAAAUUGCAGGAAAAUUCAACUUAUGCCAACUCAUUCCCUGAGCAAGGAUUAGUCAGAAUAACAUGAUUUGUAAAUUAAACUGAUAACAUGGACCAACAUUGUCCACACAAAUUUAAGAAACUCCAAAAUUUAGCAUGCAAAUCAGCAUCAAUUGGUCAUUUUCGGCUAAUGGGAAUACAUUUACUUAACGUAUUCAGCCAGCUACUAGAACAGGAUGUUGAUGCCUAUGCCAAAUACAAGAAAACGAAGAUAAUUCUCUCCCUCUCUUUACCUUUUGGAAUAAAGGACUAUACUUUCUCACUUUUCAUGGUAAGUGCUGAAAAGAAAGGAUGAUAACCACAUUUUAACCAAGCAUUACUGGUUUCACAUCUGGGAAUGUUCAAAGAGAUCAUAGCGAAGAAACUCCAAUUAGUAUUUAUUGCUAUAAAAUGAUAACCACAUUUUAACCAAGCAUUACUG
rnacentral:lncRNA from 1 species